UACGUAGGGUGCGAGCGUUAAUCGGAAUUACUGGGCGUAAAGCGUACGCAGGCGGCUGUGUAAGACAGGUGUGAAAUCCCCGGGCCUAACCUGGGAACUGCAUUUGUGACUGCAUAGCUAGAGUCUGUCAGAGGGGGGUGGAAUUCCACGUGUAGCAGUGAAAUGCGUAGAGAUCUGGAAGAACACCAAAGGCGAAGGCAGCGUCCUGGGAAGUGACUGACGCUCAUGUGCGAAAGCUAGGGGAGCGAACGGG
rnacentral:rRNA from 1 species